GGUCUGGUGGCGACCGGCGCACGGGUGCGUAACGCGUAUGCAACCUGCCUUAUGCAGGGGGAUAGCCCAUGGAAACGUGGAUUAAUACCCCAUAGAAUCAAUGAUUCGCAUGGAUUAUUGAUUAAAACUUCGGUGGCAUAAGAUGGGCAUGCGUCUGAUUAGCUGGUUGGUGAGGUAACGGCUCACCAAGGCAACGAUCAGUAGGGGUUCUGAGAGGAUUAUCCCCCACACUGGUACUGAGACACGGACCAGACUCCUACGGGAGGCAGCAGUGAGGAAUAUUGGUCAAUGGGCGCGAGCCUGAACCAGCCAUCCCGCGUGCAGGAUGACGGCCCUAUGGGUUGUAAACUGCUUUUCUACGCCAAGAAACCUGAUUACGAGUAAUCAGUUGCCGGUAGCGUAGGAAUAAGCAUCGGCUAACUCCGUGCCAGCAGCCGCGGUAAUACGGAGGAUGCAAGCGUUAUCCGGAUUCAUUGGGUUUAAAGGGUGCGCAGGUGGGCUUGUAAGUCAGUGGUGAAAUACUGCCGCUUAACGGUAGAAUUGCCAUUGAUACUGCGAGUCUUGAGUAUGGUUGAGGUAGGCGGAAUGUGUUGUGUAGCGGUGAAAUGCAUAGAUAUGACACAGAACGCCGAUUGCGAAGGCAGCUUACUAAGCCAUUACUGACGCUGAGGCACGAAAGCGUGGGGAGCGAACAGGAUUAGAUACCCUGGUAGUCCACGCCGUAAACGAUGUUCACUCGCUGUUUGCGAUACACAGUAAGCGGCUGAGCGAAAGCAUUAAGUGAACCACCUGGGGAGUACGAUCGCAAGGUUGAAACUCAAAGGAAUUGACGGGGGCCCGCACAAGCGGAGGAACAUGUGGUUUAAUUCGAUGAUACGCGAGGAACCUUACCUGGGCUUAAA
rnacentral:rRNA from 1 species